rnacentral:lncRNA from 1 species
UGUGGCGGUGUGCCAGGUCUUGGCCCCACUAAGAAAAACCCCUUUUGCCCCAAGGUGCAAGUGCUGGUGAGACCAUCACUGAUAUCCAGAGCUCCACAGGUGAGGACAAGCUUGAGGGUGUUACGGCUGCAUGGGCAUGUCCUGCUCCCUGCCUCUCCCCAUCACACCCCGCUGCCCUCACACCCUCUCUCCCCCAGCUCCCCAUGCCCGGAUCCCGCACACACUCCCCACAGGCACGGUGCUGGCAGUGGCAGCCGUCGGCCUUGUCCUCCUGUCUGCAGGCAGCUGGUUUGCCAUCAGGAAAUGUGAGGGAGUGGGGGAAGAAGGAGGGAAGGCUAAGGCCGUGGGGGUCCUGCUGCGGGACUGGUGCGCUAGGAAAGGCGGUGGGGGGAAACCUGGGUGUUUGCGGCUGGGCCAGACGGUGCCUGGGGGCGAUGGCUGUGGGCAGCUCAGCUGGGGAGGCUCCCGAGGGAGCUGGGGAGCUUCAGCCUUCAUCCCCCAGCCCCGAGAUGGGAGCCAGGGCUGGGCAGCACCUUGGCCUGUGCACCUCAGCCCCUGUUCUUCUUGCAGGUGCCUGCAGAGGGAGAUGCCCAAGGCAUCAGCACAUUGACAGACCACAGAUGGAAGACACCAGCAACGGCGAAGUCCAGUGUGAGUACUACCUCCUCCCUUGGGGGAAGCCACAUGCCCCUCUGACCAUGGUCACCCCUGCUUAUGCAUUCCCCAUGCAAUCCCACCACUUCAUCUCCCACUGGGACAUACAAAAUCCCUGCCCGUUCAUCAAGACCAGGUUUCUCUCCAGCACCUCAUGUCCUGCUUCUUCCUUGCAUGCAGAGUGCGUGCGGCUGCACAAGGGACAUGGCAGCAUCCCAGUGCUCCCAGGGACAAAGCCCAUUUGCUUGGGGGAUCCUUCCACACCAGCUCCGGCCUCAGGCAGCAUUUCCCCUGCUUCAGCCUCUGCUUUUGUCCUUUCUUCAGUUUCCUGUCAGAGGAAUUUCUGCUCAGAGAAGCAAAAAGCACCGCGCAGCAAUGAAAGAUGUGGCUCCUUGCCCUGGUGGGGAAAGCAUUUUAUAGUUUGCUCUGAAACCACAAGCAGCACCAAAGAGAGGAUGUUGUGGUUGGGUGACAGGCUAUAGAUAUAUCCCCACCCUACUUGCACCUCGCUCAUGUUGCAGCACAACCUUGUUUUCCCACGCCUGCACAGAGCAGCUCGCAAGGUGUGCUGGCUGUGCAAAGAGAGGAGAUUCCACAGAAAGCUGGAAAUACACCAAAACCUCAGCAUCUCUGCUCCAUCGCUGCUGCUUAAUUUUCAUCCCAGAUCAGGGUGAUGGGAGAGGAAAUGUGGCCAGGCAUUGAGAGCUGACCUCAGGCAGCUGCUGACCAAGGUCAGUGUGAGUUUCAGCCCUCCACCAACAGGCAGCAAGGGAUCAUGGUGUGUUUUUUUUGCCCUCACAGACUCCACCAUCACCCACGUUCGAUGGGACAGGGUGAGUCAUGGCACAGCUGUGCACAGCUCCUUUCUGCACUCCUGCAGCCUGGUGCACGCACAUUGUGCAGGGCUCACAGUCAGC